AGGACUAUCCUUAACUGUAAGAAGAUCAUCCCUAAGUUUGCUCUUUAUCAGUUUAUCCUCAUCUCGAGCCAGCUGCAGGCAGCUAUUAUCAACAUCUUGGCUAUGCAAAGGAUUAUUCCCUGUGUCCCACCACUCUCCUCAUCAGCAAGAGGAGCCUAUAUGAUCCACCAGUUCCUCAUUGUGGAGAUGUUCCUGAUAACCCUAAUCUCCCGAGUGGUCUAUAGGAGAAGAUACGACGAUCUAGAACC